rnacentral:rRNA from 1 species
UGCAUCGGAAUGUACCCAGUAGUGGGGGAUAACCAGUCGAAAGAUUGGCUAAUACCGCAUACGCACUACGGUGGAAAGCGGGGGAUCGCAAGACCUCGCGCUAUUGGAGCAGCCGAUGUCCGAUUAGGUAGUUGGUGGGGUAAUGGCCUACCAAGCCCGCGAUCGGUAACUGGUCUGAGAGGACGACCAGUCACACUGGGACUGAGACACGGCCCAGA